rfam:Oryza sativa Japonica Group DNA, chromosome 6, cultivar: Nipponbare, complete sequence.
AAUAGAUGACGCCGUUAACUUUUUCUCACAUAUUUGACCAUUCAUCUUAUUCAAAAAAAUUUAUGUAAUUAUAAUUUAUUUUGUUAUGAGUUGCUUUACCACUCAUAAUAUUUUAAGUGUGAUUUAUAUUUUAUACAUUUGCAUAAAUUUUUUGAAUAAAACGAAUGAUCAAACAUGUGAGAAAAAGUCAACGGCGUCAUCUAUU